rnacentral:lncRNA from 1 species
CACUGUAUAUUUUCUCAAAUAAUAAAAGAACCACAACAUAAUUAAUAUUGUUCAUGAUAUAUAAAAGAACGUGAAUCCCUGAAAUUUUCAUAAUUUAGAUUUAGCAAUCCCAGGUACACCAGCAAGUUGGAGUGGUUAACUGAGGCGGGUAGAUGCAGCUAGCUGUGGCACUUGCGCCGUGUUUGUUUUGACAUACCUCCCAACAUGGACCAUCUGCCUUACUUCCUUGACACACCAGUUUUAUCCCUUGGAGCUCUUCGCUACAUAUUUUUGCCUCUAUUCCUAUGCCAGCUGCAUGCACAUACACGACCCAACAUUUUUGUAUAUAUCAAUUCUAUAUAAUACUUGUAUAAUUUUCAAGAGCAAAACGACUAAUUGUAAAGAGAGUGAAGUUAGUAGAUCAGACUUCCAUGGUUUCAUUCUCUUAUAAUUAUAGUAGUUGAUAGCAGUUAGUCAGAGACGGGGCUAGGAUUUCAAGCUUAUGAGUUCGAGAUUCUAAAUCAUUUUAAAUUACUCCAUUCAAAAUUUAUAAUUUAUACAUAUCCAAUAAUUUUUUAAGACAAAUAUAAAAUUUGACCAAAGGUAAUAGGUUCGGACAAAUCCGUCUCCGGCACUCUAGUUCCGCCACUGAUAGUAGCACUCAUAUUUAUAUAGUAUAAACUGCACUUGGACAAGAAAUCAUUUAUAGACAUGCCUUAAAAAAAACUAGCAAAAACUAUCUCUUAAGUUCUAACCAAUUUAAUUAGGAUUGGCAUUCUUGGUUUAAUUUGUACAAAAGUUCAUGUGAAAGAAAGCAAAUUAAAGAUCAAACAAGUUGAUAAAAGAAAGAAAAUUAUGAAGCCAAAGAGUGGCUGAAAGACUGACAAAUUUAACGUACGAAUUAUUACUAGCUAACUAUAGUUUAGAGGGGGUGAAAGUAAACACCUGAGAGAAGGAACACAAUAAAAAGGACGAGAUGAAGGGAUUUUGAGACGCUGGAGUUGGCCAUUGUCUAAUUAUAUUUGAGUUUAU